rnacentral:rRNA from 1 species
CGUGAUAAGCUGCGAUAAGCUUCGGGGAGUUGCACGUAAACUUUGAUCCGAAGAUUUCCGAAUGAGGAAACUCACUUAGAGUAAUGUCUAAGUAUCAUUAAGUGAAUACAUAGCUUAAUGAGGGGAACUCAGGGAACUGAAACAUCUAAGUACCUGAAGGAAGAGAAAGAAAUUCGAUUCCGUAAGUAGCGGCGAGCGAACGCGGAUUAGCCCAAACUAAUAAAGUUUUCUUUAUUGGGGUUGCGGACAUAUCAUAACGAAGAGGUAUCGUAAUUGAAGAGGUUUGGAAAGACCCACCACAGAAGGUAAUAGUCCUGUAUGUUAAACGAGAAGAC